CAGGCCGAACGCUGGGGGGCCUUCCUUAAUCCAACCAAGUCGAGCGGGAGAUUGCUUGAAAGGGAUUAUUCGGGAAAAGCAAUUUUAGCGGCGGACGGGUGAGUAACGCCGUGAGCCAUCUGGCCUUUACAGGGGGGGUUAACACAGGGGAAACUGGUACUAAUACCGCAUAUUUUUAUUUAAUCGCAUGAUUGAGUGAUGAAAGUGGAAACACGGUAAAGGGGGAGCUCGCGUUCUAUUAGAUAGUUGGUGGGGUAACGGCCUACCAAGUCAACGAUAGGUAGCCGACCUGAGAGGGUGAUCGGCCACACUGGAACUGAGAUACGGUCCAGACUUCUACGGAAGGCAGCAGUAGGGAAUAUUGGGCAAUGGGCGAAAGCCUGACCCAGCAACGCCGCGUGAGGGAAGAAGGUUCUCGGAUUGUAAACCUCUAUCCUUGGUGAAGAUAAUGACGGUAGCCAAGAAGGAAGCCCCGGCUAACUACGUGCCAGCAGCCGCGGUAAUACGUAGGGGGCAAGCGUUGUCCGGAAUGAUUGGGCGUAAAGGGCUCGUAGGCGGCUAAUCAAGUCUGGAGUGAAAGUCCUGCUUUUAAGGUGGGAAUUGCUUUGGAAACUGAAUAGCUUGAGUGUAGGAGAGGUUAGUGGAAUUCCCAGUGUAGCGGUGAAAUGCGUAGAGAUUGGGAGGAACACCAGUGGCGAAGGCGACUAACUGGACUAUAACUGACGCUGAGGAGCGAAAGUGUGGGUAGCAAACAGGAUUAGAUACCCUGGUAGUCCACACUGUAAACGAUGAAUGCUAGGUGUAGGUGGUAUCGACCCCCAUCUGUGCCGCAGUAAACACAAUAAG
rnacentral:rRNA from 1 species